rnacentral:rRNA from 1 species
UGAGCAAUCUGCCCUUCUCUUCGGAAUAAGCGUUGGAAACGACGUCUAAUGCCGAAUACGACCUCCUUUCGCAUGAUCGGAGGUGGAAAGCUCCGGCGGAGAAGGAUGAGCUCGCGGCCUAUCAGCUAGUUGGUGUGGGUAAUGGCCCACAAGGCGACGACGGGUAGCCGGCCUGAGAGGGUGACCGGCCACACUGGGACUGAGACACGGCCCAGACUCCUACGGGAGGNAG